AAUCUUCUAGGUGUGUCUCUUCUGUCUAUUACUAAUGCAGUUUUACAUUGCUGCAGAGCAUUCACCCUGAAGAUAAAUAAAUAAACAAGUAAAGACCAUCCAAGGCCAAGCAAGAGAGAUGUUUUUAAAUACCCCCAAAGCGACAUCUUUGUGUUGGUGAGUUGUGUGACUUCCAGCAGGCCGGGAGUCUUUGUGCUGAGCCUUGUGAAUAAGCAAAGGGGGGAUCAAUGCUGGCCACAGAGCGCAUUACUCAUUAGCAAGCUGCGAGCUGGGAGCACAACAAUGAUAUCAAACAUCAGCCCCCUGCCCAGUUCCACUGAACAGAGCCUACUGAUAGGGCAGUGUGUGCUGCCAACAGUGAGUCAUUCAUCUCUCUGUCCUGCUUUCACAACAGUGUGAUUCAGUGUUUGCAAAGGAAAGUCUUGACUGCAAACAUUACCCUCUUUCAGCCACUGUUAGUCUCAUUGCAACAUACAGCAGAGACUGUGCCCCGCAUGGUGUUUAUCAGGACGGUGAAUCAGAGAAGGCAGAGCAUCCCCCAUGACCUGGAGCUCUGUGCACACCAGGGGAGAUCUGGGGGGACAGUGUGCUAUGAAACCAUUGCCCUUGCUAUGCUGGACCUUCCUUCCUGCCAUGCUGCCCCACACCAGCCCAGCAGAGCCUGCCAAAAAACAGGCUGAAGUUCAAGCAGAAGUUUCAAGACAGAAGCAUUUUAAAAAGAAGGGAGGAGGAGAGGUAAAAGCAAGGCGUGAUAGAAAGCUCGCUAUUUCAAACAUGAAUUCAACCUCGACAUCCUGCUGAAAUUGGUGAGUUUGGAGAGCAGUUCCAAUAUAGGAAGUUUCCUGAAUCCACAGAAUCGGGCUGUGGGGAGAACAGAGGGCAGAGCUGAUUAGGAAGCAAGAUAAUACACGUUCAUACCUGCUGGAACCUGUGAUUUGGAAUGACAGCUGCAAUACUUUGAAUGCUUUUUGCCGCCACUUUUGCAGGAUACAGGGGCUCCUGCAUCCGUUUAAAGAGAAAUCUGUGACCGGUACCUGACCUUUCUUUGGAUCACUACCAGCCUUCACAGAGAGUGAGGGACUUUGCUGCUGCAGUGUGCACUGUUAAAUAUUACUGUUUUCUCUGGGGAAGAAGCAUAUGCAUGCUUUGCUGUUCCUACUGAAAUACACUGUGGCUUUUCCAUUGAUCACCAGGGGACCAAAAUGAGAAUAUCAUCCUUCUGCCCCAGGGAUGGGGCAGGGCAGCAUCCAUUACCUCUCUGGAAGACCUGUUGGAGUGCUUCGUUAUCCUUAUUGUAAAAAUCUUUUCUUUUACAUCCAAUAUAAAUUUCCCCUGUUUUAGUUUGAAAGCAUUUCCCCUUGUCCUAUCACAACAGACAUUGCUAAUGAGUCUGUCUUCUGUGUAACACCUGCAUCCAUAAUCCACUUGAGACAAAUUUAAGCCUGGCAAUGAGAAAUUGGCCAAAUCCUCAAUAAAAGAGCUCUGGAAGUACAGGUGAAGAACAGAUUCCUGAGCAGCAAUCACUGACCUACCACUGGACCUCAGAAAUCUCUGUGAGCUUUGGUGGAGGUUAGAUGCUUGGUGGAGGUAUGCCUUUCUAUAACGGAAUAGAAGACAACAUGAUUUACAAGAUAUUAAAUGAAUCUCGCUCUGUACUACUUAUUAACAUAGAAUCACUUCUAAUGGUUCCUGCAGAUUCUUUUAACACUUGUGUUGGACAGUUCCAUAAGGACUCAAGUAAUUGUAUAAGGGCAGGAAAAAGUAAACAAACUUAAUGCAAUGGAUGUAGACUGCAAGCUUUUCUCCUGCUUCUUACAGUACAGUAUUUUUAUCUUCAGAGAAUCACAGAACAUCCUGAGCUGGAAGGGAUCCACAAGGAUCAUGGAGCCCAGCUCCUGGCUCCACACAGCACCACCCCAAAUCCAAACCCUAUGUCUGAGUGUGAUGUCCAAACUCAGCUUGAACUCCGGCACUCCUUAUGCUACCUUCCUCCUUUCUCUAGAAAAUAUACACUGAAACACGA